rnacentral:lncRNA from 1 species
UAAGAUCAAGAGUUUAUUCAUUAGUUAUUGAGGUUUAAAUCUGUUGUAGGAAUUACUAGGGUUUGGUUUAGGAUUUGGUUAGGAUUUGAUUUAGGAUUUGGUUUAAGGUUUGAUUUAGGAUUUAGGGUUUAGGAUUUGGAUUAGGAUUUGUUUUAGGAUUAGGAUUUGAUAAGGGUUUGAUUUAGGAUUUAGGAUUUGGAUUAGGAUUUGAUUUAGGAUUUAGGAUUUGAUUAGGAUUUAGUUUAGGAUUUAGGAUUUGGAUUAGGAUUUGAUUUAGGGUUUAGGAUUUGAUUAGGAUUUUAUUUAGGAUUUAGGAUUUUUUUAGGAUUUGAUUUAGGAUUUAGGAUUUAAUUAGGGUUUGAUUUAGGAUUUAGGAUUUGAUUUAGGAUUUGAGGUUUGAUUUAGGGUUUAGAGUUUGGGGUUUGGAUUUAAGAUUUGAUUAGGGUUUGGUUUAGGAUUUUAUUAGGAUUUAUUUAGGAUUUAAGAUUUAAUUAAUUUGGGCCUAAAGUUUAAAUGAAGUCCAAUAGGAUUUUAACUAGGAUUAAAUUAAGAUUGAAUUGAGAUAUAUUUGAGAGAUAUUUGUGAUUAUUCUAAUAUUUCUUUAAAAUUUCUUAUUAUUUCUUUGAAAUUUCUUUGAGGUUUCUUUGAAUUUGAUUAAGCUUGUUUAGCAUUAUUGUGGUCCAAUUAAAGCAUUGUUAGGAUUCUAUUAGAAUUAGGAUUUUGUUAUUGCAAUUUCUAUUCUUCCUUCUACAGCCAGGUACUCGGAGCAUUCCCAAGCAAGACUUCACAUAUUACGACACCAUGUGGCUAAAAUCUUGCAUAACAUUUAAUAAAAGUCCUAUUCUUUCUUCAAAUCCUAUAUCUUAUUUUAUAAUUGAAGUUUUUUUAGGAUCAAAAAAUCAUAAAUUCUUUAUCUUGUUAAAUUUAAAAGCCUCAACUUUUUUUUAUAGACAAAUCUUAUGU